rnacentral:rRNA from 1 species
AAUUCGAUUAACGCGAAGAACCUUACCAGGUCUUGACAUCUAACUGACAGGUCCUUAAUCGGACAAUUCCUUCGGGACAGUUAAGACAGGUGGUGCAUGGUUGUCGUCAGCUCGUGUCGUGAGAUGUUGGGUUAAGUCCCGCAACGAGCGCAACCCCUAUUUCCAGUAGCCAGCAGUAAGAUGGGAACUCUGGAGAGACUGCCGGGGAUAACCCGGAGGAAGGUGGGGACGACGUCAAAUCAUCAUCCCCCUUAUGAUCUGGGCUACACACGUGCUACAAUGGCAGUUACAGAGGGAAGCGAAACUGUGAGGUGGAGCAAACCCCAAAAAGGCUGUCUCAGUUCGGAUUGUAGUCUGCAACUCGACUACAUGAAGCUGGAAUCGCUAGUAAUCGCGAAUCAGAAUGUCGCGGUGAAUACGUUCCCGGGUCUUGUACACACCG